ACUCUGGUUUCCUCUUCAUAUACGCACAAGCCUUUCGCCUUUUACUAAAAGACUUCCGUGGAGAGGAACACUCACGGUUCAAGUAUUUUUGUAAGGGCUUUGCUUCUGGCAGAGCC